GAAGUUAAAUGCCCAUUUAGCAUUGCCAACAUGACUCCAACCGAAGCAAUAUUAUCAAAAAAGAUCACAUUCGCUACAUUGGAAAAUAACCACCUACAUUUGAAAAAAAACCACAAUUAUUACUACCAAGUUCAGGGGCAGUUAGCUAUAGCUAACAAGCAAUCAUGCUAUUUUAUUAUUUGGAGCCCUCUUGGCAUGUUAGUUGAACAGAUUGGCCGUGACGAACAAUUUUGGGAGGAACAAAUGUUACCAAAAUUAAAAGCCUUCUACUUCAAUUUUUUAUUACCAGAAAUAGUUGACCCGCUUUAUCCAAAAGGGCUGCCUAUCAGAACUUAAAAUUCUUCCGUUGGCGAAAAACCUGUCAACUGAAUCGAUGCAGAAGCUAAUUAAUUUUUUUUUAUUUAUUUCCUAAUAUGUAAAAACCUUAAUAAAUAUGUAUAUACGU